GCGCGGGCCUCAAGAGGGGGGAAAGAAGCCAAGAUCUUAUUCUGAUCCCAUUGCCCUUCGUCGGUUAUGAAACUCGACACCAAAGCUUUAUCAUCAUCUCGGUGGUUGGGUGUAGCGAUCCCCUAUCCGAGUCUAGGGAUCCAUGCAUCAGUGAAGGCCCUAAUCUUCUUUCCCGAUCCCACUUUCCAUCUCAAGCCCUCUGCCAACAGAUCCUUACCCCAUCAAAUUUCUUGUUAAUAUUAAAUUCAAAGAAAAUGACUAAAAUGUCCUAUUAUGUAUAUACAUAGUGUAUGAAUAGCAUCACUCUUUUUCAAAUCUCAAUUGAUCGAGGUUGUCCUAAAAAUAAAUAAAAAAAUAAAAAAAAAACUUAAUUUUAAUAUUUAAACACGAAAUAUAUAGUAUAUAAAAAAAAGGAAUACAAGUUCGGUUUGAAAUUGCAGAGCCCUUUUACGAGAUCCUUUUUUUUUUAUUGAGUUACACAUUUUACGAGAAUUAAUCAGCC
rnacentral:lncRNA from 1 species